UGGGGGCCAAGAUCAUGAUGGAGUUGAAAGACUUCUACUGGGGCUGUAAGAAAGGUCCAUACCUUUCUGAUCUAGUCUCUGCACUGUGCUAAUGUGUUGGAGUGCCCGAGGAGCCUGAGGAUAUGAAGGUAGAUAUGGACAUCUUAUUUCACACGUUCAGGGUAAAAGUUCUCACAUCCAAGGAGAGAAAGAAGAGAAAGGCAAGUGAGGCAGAGAGUAGCAGGGAAAUAGAGGAGGUCUUUGAAAGAAGAGAAAGAAAAGUGAGGCAGAGAGUAGCAGGAAAAUAGAGGAGGUCUUUGACCUUGACAACGUAAUGAUGAUUCCCCCCUCCCCAUCUCCUAUUUCCAACCCUUGAUACCUAGUAGCAGCUAGAGUCAAACAUGUUUACUGUUAGGAGAUCUAUGGAGCAGGCCCC
rnacentral:lncRNA from 1 species